CAUUGUCGUGCUCGACUGUGCAAGGUGCGGGCUUUGCCAGGCAGGGCUCGCUGCUCUCCAAGGGGCAGGCGACACACGCAUUUUCAACUUGUACACUGGGAAGUCACCAUGGAACAACCCCGCCGCCUUGGAGCUCGGCCCGUCCCCGGCCGGCCACCUCUCCGUCGGCCUCGUGCUCCUCCGCCUCGAUCCGUCCGCCCCACCGCCGGAUCCACGCCGGAGCAUCCGGAUCCGCCGCCCAGACCACCAACCAAGAGUCGCCUCUUGCCUAUCCUACGGCCGGGAGGAGGACGACCGAGAGGAGCGCCCAUUGAUCUGCCGCCUGGGCCGCCUUGGAGCACGCCCUGCCUCCGGCCCGCCACCUCCCCGUCAGCUUCGCGCUCCCCCGACAUGAUGAAUCGUUUUUUUUCCCAGAUUAGCCACUUUAAAAAGGACCGCGGGUUGAAUUCACAUACGCAGAGGGACUUUUUUGCAAAUCGCCAGCGACGACGUACGACCAGAAACCGUAGCUGCUUUAUUAUUAGGUAGAGAUAUAGCAAACAUGCCCGUGCGUUGCAACGGGAGACAAAAAAGUUACACGCCAGCCAAAUAAAUAUGACUCAAUACCCCAAAUUAUGAGUGUUCUUUA